rnacentral:rRNA from 1 species
ACUCAAAUGAAUUGACGGGGACCCGCACAACCAGUGGAGCGUGUGGUUCAAUUCGAGACAAAACGAAAAACCUCACCAAGACUUGACAUGUUAUCGUACAUUCUUUAGGAAACUAGAGGAAAUCUCGUAGCAAUACGCGAUGAUAACACAGGUGCUGCAUGGCUGUCGUCAGCUCGUGCCGUGAGGUGUUCCCUUAAGUGGGGAAACGAGCGCAACCCCCGCCCAAUAUUAAAUAUUUAUUGGGGACGGUCCCGGUUUCACCGGGAAGGAAGGAGGGGAAGACGUCAAGUCAGCACGGCCCUUAUGUCUUGGGCUACACACACACUACAAUGGCGAAAGCAACGGGUUGCUAGCUGGUAACAGUAUGCUAAUCCCUAAAUUUCGCCUCAGUUCAGAUUGAGGGCUGAAACCCGCCCUCAUGAAGCCGGAAUUGGUAGUAAUCGCGGAUCAGCAUGCCGCGGUGAAUACGUUCUCGGGUCUUGUACACACCGCCCGU